AACGAACGCUGGCGGCAUGCCUAACACAUGCAAGUCGAACGAGACCUUCGGGUCUAGUGGCGCACGGGUGCGUAACGCGUGGGAACCUGCCCUUAGGUUCGGAAUAACUCCCCGAAAGGGGUGCUAAUAACGGAUAAUGUCUUCGGACCAAAGAUUUAUCGCCUUUGGAUGGGCCCGCGUUGGAUUCGCUAGUUGGUAGGGUAAAAGCCUACCAAGGCGACGAUCCAUAGCUGGUCUGAGAGGAUGAUCAGCCACACUGGGACUGAGACACGGCCCAGACUCCUACGGGAGGCAGCAGUGGGGAAUAUUGGACAAUGGGCGAAAGCCUGAUCCAGCAAUGCCGCGUGAGUGAUGAAGGCCUUAGGGUUGUAAAGCUCUUUUACCCGGGAUGAUAAUGACAGUACCGGGAGAAUAAGCUCCGGCUAACUCCGUG
rnacentral:rRNA from 1 species